UAGCGCCUCGUGAAUUCAUCUCCGGGGGUAGAGCACUGUUUCGGCAAGGGGGUCAUCCCGACUUACCAACCCGAUGCAAACUGCGAAUACCGGAGAAUGUUAUCACGGGAGACACACGGCGGGUGCUAACGUCCGUCGUGAAGAGGGAAACAACCCAGACCGCCAGCUAAGGUCCCAAAGUCAUGGUUAAGUGGGAAACGAUGUGGGAAGGCCCAGACAGCCAGGAUGUUGGCUUAGAAGCAGCCAUCAUUUAAAGAAAGCGUAAUAGCUCACUGGUCGAGUCGGCCUGCGCGGAAGAUGUAACGGGGCUAAACCAUGCACCGAAGCUGCGGCAGCGACGCUUAUGCGUUGUUGGGUAGGGGAGCGUUCUGUAAGCCUGUGAAGGUGUGCUGUGAGGCAUGCUGGAGGUAUCAGAAGUGCGAAUGCUGACAUAAGUAACGAUAAAGCGGGUGAAAAGCCCGCUCGCCGGAAGACCAAGGGUUCCUGUCCAACGUUAAUCGGGGCAGGGUGAGUCGACCCCUAAGGCGAGGCCGAAAGGCGUAGUCGAUGGGAAACAGGUUAAUAUUCCUGUACUUGGUGUUACUGCGAAGGGGGGACGGAGAAGGCUAUGUUGGCCGGGCGACGGUUGUCCCGGUUUAAGCGUGUAGGCUGGUUUUCCAGGCAAAUCCGGAAAAUCAAGGCUGAGGCGUGAUGACGAGGCACUACGGUGCUGAAGCAACAAAUGCCCUGCUUCCAGGAAAAGCCUCUAAGCAUCAGGUAACAUCAAAUCGUACCCCAAACCGACACAGGUGGUCAGGUAGAGAAUACCAAGGCGCUUGAGAGAACUCGGGUGAAGGAACUAGGCAAAAUGG
rnacentral:rRNA from 1 species